UGACUAUAUGUUUAACGGCCGCGGUAUCCUGACCGUGCGAAGGUAGCGCAAUCACUUGUCUCUUAAAUGGGGACCUGUAUGAAUGGCAUCACGAGGGUUUAACUGUCUCCUCUUUCAAGUCAAUGAAAUUGAUCCCCCCGUGCAGAAGCGGGGAUGAGCACAUAAGACGAGAAGACCCUAUGGAGCUUUAGACACUAAGGUAGACUAUAUCAACCGCCCCCAAAACCCGGGCCAAAACCAAAUACCCCCCUACCCUACGUCUUCGGUUGGGGCGACCACGGAGUAAUAAAAAACCCCCGCGUGGACCGGGAACACAAUUUUCCCACAGACAAGAGCUCCCGCUCUAACAAGCAGAAUUUCUGACUAAAAGUGAUCCAGCCAAUGCUGAUCAACGGACCAAGUUACCCUAGGGAUAACAGCGCAAUCUCCUUCUAGAGUCCAUAUCGACAAGGAGGUUUACGACCUCGAUGUUGGAUCAGGACAUCCUAAUGGUGCAGCCGCUAUUAAGGGUUCGUUUGUUCAACGACUAAAGUCCUACGUG
rnacentral:rRNA from 1 species